rnacentral:rRNA from 1 species
UACGAAGGGGGCUAGCGUUGCUCGGAAUUACUGGGCGUAAAGGGUGCGUAGGCGGCGCGGUAAGUCGGGUGUGAAAUUUCGAGGCUUAACUUCGAAACUGCAUUCGAUACUGCCGUGCUUGAGGACUGGAGAGGAGACUGGAAUUUACGGUGUAGCGGUGAAAUGCGUAGAUAUUGGGAGGAACACCAGUGGCGAAGGCGGCUCACUGGACUGGUACUGACGCUGAUGCGCGAAAGCGUGGGGAGCAAACAGG